rnacentral:tRNA from 1 species
GGGUCAUUAGCUCAAUUGGUAGAGCAGCUGACUCUUAAUCAGUUGGUUACAGGUUCAAGUCCUGUAUGGCCCACCA